rnacentral:rRNA from 1 species
CCUACGGGUGGCAGCAGUGAGGAAUAUUGGUCAAUGGACGAGAGUCUGAACCAGCCAAGUAGCGUGAAGGAUGACUGCCCUAUGGGUUGUAAACUUCUUUUAUAUGGGAAUAAAACGUUCCACGUGUGGGAUUUUGUAUGUCCCAUAUGAAUCCGGAUCGGCUAACUCCGUGCCGGCAGCCGCGGUAAUACGGAGGAUCCGAGCGUUAUCCGUGUUUAUUGGGUUUAAAGGGAGCGUAGGCGGAUUGUUAAGUCAGUUGUGAAAGUUUGCGGCUCAACCGUAAAAUUGCAGUUGAAACUGGCAGUCUUGAGUACAGUAGAGGUGGGCGGAAUUCGUGGUGUAGCGGUGAAAUGCUUAGAUAGCACGAAGAACUCCGAUUGCGAAGGCAGUUCACUGGACUGCAACUGACACUGAGGCUCGAAAGUGUGGGUAGCAAACAGGAUUAGAUACCCGAGUAGUC